UACGAAGGGGGCUAGCGUUGCUCGGAAUCACUGGGCGUAAAGCGCACGUAGGCGGCUUACUAAGUCAGGGGUGAAAUCCUGGAGCUCAACUCCAGAACUGCCUUUGAUACUGGUGAGCUUGAGUCCGGAAGAGGUGAGUGGAACUGCGAGUGUAGAGGUGAAAUUCGUAGAUAUUCGCAAGAACACCAGUGGCGAAGGCGGCUCACUGGCCCGAUACUGACGCUGAGGCACGAAAGCGUGGGGAGCAAACAGGG
rnacentral:rRNA from 1 species